UCAGCGCGAUAGAAAAAAAAUGUACCGGCGUGGGGAAUCGAAGGUGGUGCCGUGAUAAGUUCGUUCCGCGCUUGUAUAUUUGCGGUGUUUAUUGAUAUUAUGUGUGCCAAUCAUCGUUGUCAGUCGUCGACUGGAAGUGUAUCGCGUGUGGGAUGGAAUGGGCGGCCAAAGGUGUGUCAAGAUUUUGUGUUGGUGUUCUGUGGUGUGUCGUCGUAGCCUCAACGGGCUCGUCGCUUUGUCUGCGCGCUCAGCGCUGCGUGAUCGGCGUGCUUUCCACGUUUCUUGAUUACUCACGGUUAUUGCGUGGUUCAAUCGAGUGCAUCUACUCAGACAGUCCACCGCCCAGUGCCUUGUCUGACGACGACGGCGACUGUAAAGCACAAGCGUGCGCCUCAGCGGAUGCCUAGAAUGGCCCACGAACCCAACUUCCGAGCGGCACGCCUACCGGCCGAACAUCGGAGUGACCCGCCUGUGCGCAGCUUGAUCUGCCUACCACGCGUCGGCCUUGGUCAUCAUCUCACCGGCCUCGCCUUUCAUCUCUACCACCUGGAAAGCCGGCGUGGCCGACGGAGCAUAGACGACUGACUGUUCAAGGAACUGAAGCAGUGGACAGCUUGCUGUGAAAGAUGGGAGCAUUCUUCCUCUGGUCUGGACAAGCCCAUAUUAAGUGGGAGAUGUUCAAUAUCAACCCGAUGAGAGGCAGCAAAUGUGGAAAUGGACGCAAGUCAAGGACAGCUGCAGACAGCAAAAUAUUGAAACUGAUACAACGAUUGUGCUGAAUCACCGAAGAUAUGAGCCAGAGUGCGAACAGUAUACUCGUACAGUUUCGCAGAAUAAACCCCAUCUUUAUGCGUUCAGAGCAGCUGGAUGUUCACUGUUUACUUGGCAAGAAGUAGUAUGUAUGCAUGCUUCCUGCCACAGCUAUGUGCUGUCCCACACUUUGUGGGAAACACUGAAUUCUGCAUUUGCUGAGAAAUAUAUGUGCCAAAUAGUGCAUUUUGUUGCUUUGCAGUCACCAAUGCACACAAGUUGACCCCACACUGUAC